rnacentral:rRNA from 1 species
AUUGAACGCUGGCGGCAUGCCUAACACAUGCAAGUCGAACGGAGUGGCGGACGGGUGAGUAAUGCAUAGGAAUGUGCCCGGUAGUGGGGGAUAACGUCCGGAAAGGGGCGCUAAUACCGCAUACUAUUGGAUGGGCCUAGGUCGGAUUAGCUAGUUGGUGGGGUAAAGGCUCACCAAGGCGACGAUCCGUAACUGGUCUGAGAGGAUGAUCAGUCACACGGGAACUGAGACACGGUCCAGACUCCUACGGGAGGCAGCAGUGGGGAAUAUUGGACAAUGGGCGAAAGCCUGAUCCAGCCAUCCCGCGUGUGUGAUGAAGGUCUUCGGGUUGUAAAGCACUUUCAGUUGGGAGGCGGUACCAGCAGAAUAAGCACCGGCUAACUACGUGCCAGCAGCCGCGGUAAUUC